rnacentral:rRNA from 1 species
UAGCCUUAAAAAUAAUUUAAGGUGAUGCCUGCCCAAUGAUAAUAAAAAAAUUUUUGUGAUAGAAAAUACAUAACGUUUCAAUGGCCGCAGUAUUCUUGACUGUGUUAAGGUAGCACAAUCAAUCGCCGCUUAAUUGGCGGAUGGUAUGAAUGGUAAUACGAAAAUUUCACUGUCUCAAAUGUAGAAUUAAAAAAAUUGAAAUAAUAGUUAAGAUGCUAUUUAAAAUUGUAAGACGAUAAGACCCUAUAAAGCUUUACUACUACCCUUAAAAAUUAAAUCAUUUAGGGGAAAGGUAGUUUACUUGGGGCAAGGACUUUUUAAAUAAAAAGAAAGUAAGCAAAAUGAAUAAUACAUUUAUUGUAUAAAUUAUAUUUUUAACAAUCACAAAGUGGGCUAUACUGACCCGUUUAUUCUUUAAAACUAGAUAAACAAUUAUUAAAUAAAAGCUACUUUAGGGAUAACAGGAUAAUUUUAUCAAAGAGCCCAUAUUACUGAUAAAGUUUGUCACCUCGAUGUUGAAUUAAGAUUUCCUAGCGGAGCAGAAACUGCUAAAGGUAGGUCUGUUCGACCUUUAAAUAUCUU